rnacentral:rRNA from 1 species
UGGCGGCAGGCCUAACACAUGCAAGUCGAACGGUAGCACAGAGGGCUUGCUCUCGGGUGACGAGUGGCGGACGGGUGAGUAAUGUCUGGGAAACUGCCUGAUGGAGGGGGAUAACUACUGGAAACGGUAGCUAAUACCGCAUAACGUCGCAAGACCAAAGAGGGGGACCUUCGGGCCUCUUGCCAUCAGAUGUGCCCAGAUGGGAUUAGCUAGUAGGUGGGGUAAUGGCUCACCUAGGCGACGAUCCCUAGCUGGUCUGAGAGGAUGACCAGCCACACUGGAACUGAGACACGGUCCAGACUCCUACGGGAGGCAGCAGUGGGGAAUAUUGCACAAUGGGCGCAAGCCUGAUGCAGCCAUGCCGCGUGUGUGAAGAAGGCCUUCGGGUUGUAAAGCACUUUCAGCGAGGAGGAAGGUGGUGAACUUAAUACGUUCAUCAAUUGACGUUACUCGCAGAAGAAGCACCGGCUAACUCCGUGCCAGCAGCCGCGGUAAUACGGAGGGUGCAAGCGUUAAUCGGAAUUACUGGGCGUAAAGCGCACGCAGGCGGUUUGUUAAGUCAGAUGUGAAAUCCCCGGGCUCAACCUGGGAACUGCAUUUGAAACUGGCAAGCUAGAGUCUCGUAGAGGGGGGUAGAAUUCCAGGUGUAGCGGUGAAAUGCGUAGAGAUCUGGAGGAAUACCGGUGGCGAAGGCGGCCCCCUGGACGAAGACUGACGCUCAGGUGCGA